rnacentral:rRNA from 1 species
UACGGAGGGGGCUAGCGUUGUUUGGAAUUACUGGGCGUAAAGCGCACGUAGGCGGCUUUGUAAGUUAGAGGUGAAAGCCCGGGGCUCAACUCCGGAAUUGCCUUUAAGACUGCAUCGCUUGAACAUCGGAGAGGUGAGUGGAAUUCCGAGUGUAGAGGUGAAAUUCGUAGAUAUUCGGAAGAACACCAGUGGCGAAGGCGACUCACUGGACGAUUGUUGACGCUGAGGUGCGAAAGCGUGGGGAGCAAACAGG